rnacentral:rRNA from 1 species
GACGAACGCUGGCGGCGUGCCUAAUACAUGCAAGUCGAGCGGAAAGACCAUGCUUUUGCUCCUCUCACGUGUGGCGAACAGGUGUGAGUCACGUGUGUAUCAUGCACCUGUAUUUGGGGUAACAUCAGGAGACACGGGCUCUUAUCGGGGAGGAGCUACUGCUGCACGGUGGUCGUUAGAAAGAGUCGGCCGUUGGGGAUGGAUUCGCGGCUUAUGCGCUAGAUGGUGGGGUAGGUGUGUACCAAGGCUUUGACGGAUAGCCGGCCUGGGAGGGUGACCGGCCACAUUGGGACUGAGAUACGGCCCAGACUCCAACGGGAGGCAGAAGUGGGGAAUAUUGCACAAUGGGCGGAAGCCUGAUGCGACAACGCCGCGUGCGGGAUGACGGCUUUCGGGUUGUAAACCGCUUUCGCCUGUGACGAAGCGUGAGUGACGGUAAUGGGUAAAGAAGCACCGGCUAACUACGUG